AUUGAACGCUGGCGGAAUGCUUUACACAUGCAAGUCGAGCGGCAGCGCGGGGGCAACCCUGGCGGCGAGCGGCGAACGGGUGAGUAACAUAUCGGAACGUACCCAGUCGUGGGGGAUAACACAUCGAAAGGUGUGCUAAUACCGCAUACGACCUGAGGGUGAAAGCGGGGGACCGUAAGGCCUCGCGCGAUUGGAGCGGCCGAUAUCGGGAUUAGCUUGUUGGUGAGGUAAAGGCUCACCAAGGCGACGAUCCGUAGCGGGUCUGAGAGGACGACCCGCCACACUGGAACUGAGACACGGUCCAGACACCUACGGGUGGCAG
rnacentral:rRNA from 1 species